AAGACAAUCCAUUUUUCCAAUGGCGUCGCAGACUCGCAGUUUCAUCUGGACGUGUCGUUUGGACGUGUUGACGGAUUUAAAGCGGCAAGUGGCAGCCGGAGGAACUACGGCUAGAAGAUUACGUGACUUCGCUCGGCUCUAAGCUGCAGCCUAACGCCCGCUAAUGUCAGCAGAGAGAGGGAGAGGAAGUGUCCUCCGAGACAGCACACGGGAACCCACACGGCACUCCGAAGGACGUCACUAGGAGGGGGACCAGGUGUGACCCUGAAGACUGGGAGUGCCACCCUGACCAGGCUGAAGCUGACAUGAUUAGCAAGCAUCGUAACCUUGCAACCAAUGGGAACCUGAGGAACUGCAUCACAAAAGUGAAAGGGACGCCCACCCAGCACUUCUUCGAGGAUGGUGCCUUGAAGAAGGGAGAAGUGCGCCUAAAGUGAAUGCCAUGGCAGGCAUUGCGCUGAGGCUUGGGCCAUGUGGAACUGGAGGCAGCCAAGUCAUCAAAGAAGAUAGGACUUCGGCUCAUUCAGAAACCAUGUGAACUACGGCACAAGAGGCCCAGGGCACCGGGACAGCUGGCUGAAUAAACAGCUAAGCCUUUCAAACAUUGAAGUGUAUGCUAUCCCAAGGAGAGUAGUUUGAAGGGGAUUAGAGUUUUAGACCUCAAGGCAAAUAAAUGUAUUUUUUCCUGCCAAA